rnacentral:rRNA from 1 species
AGCGAACGCUGGCGGCAGGCUUAACACAUGCAAGUCGAACGCACCGCAAGGGGAGUGGCCGACGGGUGAGUAACACGUGGGAACGUACCCAUUGGUUCGGUAUAACUUGGGGAAACUCAAGCCUAUACCGGAUAAGCCUCUAUGGGGAAAGGUUUACUGCAGAAGGAUCGGCCCGCGUGUGCUUAGCUAGUUGGUGAGCUAAUGGCUCACCAAGGCGACGAUCAGUAGCUGGUCUGAGAGGAUGAUCGGCCACACGGGGCCGGAGUCACGGCCCAGACGCCUACGGGAGGCAGCAGUGGGGAAUAUUGGACAAUGGGGGGAACCCUGAUCCAGCCAUGCCGCGUGAGUGAUGAAGGCCUUAGGGUUGUAAAGAUCUUUUACCCGGGACGAUAAUGACUGUACCGGGAGAAUAAGCCCCGGCUAACUUCGUGCCAGCCGCCGCCGUAA